UACGUAGGGUGCGAGCGUUAAUCGGAAUUACUGGGCGUAAAGCGUGCGCGGGCGGUUUUGUAAGCCAGAUGUGAAAGCCCCGGGCUUAACCUGGGAAUGGCAUUUGGGACUGCAAGGCUUGAGUGCGGCAGAGGAGACUGGAAUUCCUGGUGUAGCAGUGAAAUGCGUAGAUAUCAGGAGGAAUACCGAUGGCGAAGGCAGGUCUCUGGGCUGACACUGACGCUCAUGCACGAAAGCGUGGGGAGCAAACAGG
rnacentral:rRNA from 1 species